GAACAUCAGUACGUCCAGUCCGGAGAGUACACACCCGAGGAUUGCUUUCCAGGAUGUGGAGCAACUGUUGUUUACCAUCUGGAGGGGUUCCUGAUGUGGACUCACCAUUGGCACGCUGGCAUUGCCUGGUUGAAAGGGGUACUCCUUUUCAGGUGUAAGCUUAAAAGAAUAUUUUUGAUCAGUGACAUUAAGCUGCAUUCCACUGAAGAAUAUAAAAUCCAACCCCAGGACUACAGCAUAGGCGAGGGCUUGUGACGACAGAACAGUAGCAGGUAGAGAGGACCACUGGACCAUGGAUGGAGCUGAUCGGGUGAUGUGAGCUGUCUCAUGAGACUUUCAUGAAUAAGUGUGUAGCUUGCACCAGUAUCCACGAUGGCUUUUCCAGUCCAGGCAGCAAUAUUGAUGGGAACAACCAACUGCUGGGGUACUGUCAUUGUUGCAUUAGGGUUUGUGUAGGCUUUCUUGGUGGUAGAUAGAGGCUUCUGCAUUCUUGUAGCAGUCACAGAGUUGUUAGAAGACUGACCCCUUGUCUGAGGAGAUGAAUAGGGAUGUUUGCUGCUGGUAAAUUGGUGUGCAGUUGAC